ACUCAAAUGAAUAGACGGGGGCCCGCACAAGCGGCGGAGCAUGUUGCUUAAUUCGAGGCGACGCGAAGAACCUUACCUGGGCUUGACAUGCAGGGAAAAGCCGUAGAGAUACGGUGUCCUUCGGGGCCCUGCACAGGUGGUGCAUGGUUGUCGUCAGCUCGUGUCGUGAGAUGUUGGGUUAAGUCCCGCAACGAGCGCAACCCUUGUCCUAUGUUGCCAGCGGGUAAUGCCGGGGACUCGUAGGAGACUGCCGGGGUCAACUCGGAGGAAGGUGGGGAUGACGUCAAAUCAUCAUGCCCCUUACGUCCAGGGCUGCAAACAUGCUACAAUGGCCGGUACAAAGGGCUGCUAUUCCGCGAGGAUGAGCGAAUCCCAAAAAGCCGGUCUCAGUUCGGAUCGAAGUCUGCAACUCGACUUCGUGAAGUCGGAGUCGCUAGUAAUCCCGGAUCAGCAACGCCGGGGUGAAUACGUUCCCGGGCCUUGCACACACCGCCCGU
rnacentral:rRNA from 1 species